rnacentral:tRNA from 5 species
GCCGGGGUAGCUCAGCCUGGUAGAGCGGCGGGCUGUUAACCCGUCGGUCAGCGGUUCAAAUCCGCUCCCCGGCG